UCUGAUGUUAAAUAUUAGAGAAACUCCUCCAUCAGUUCACAGUUGAUGAAUUCACUUGAAUGUGUGAUGAAAUAUCUUCAGCAAAAGAAAAUACGACUGACUAAAUUAACUCUUAUUAGAAUAUUUUAUAAUAACACUGAUAACUGAUGAUAGACAGAAACAUGUAUUUUUUCAUUACUGAUACUUUCUAUUGAAUGAAUAUUAUACUGUCUGUAUUUUCAGGAAACACCUCUAAACCCGUGUCAGGAAAAAAAGGAGGAAAGGUCACACUCACAUGUGAACAUGAGGCCAAUAAUAUUGUUCACAUUGAGUUAUCCAGUCGGUCAGGAGACAUAGAUGUGUGUCAGACUGAAGAAUGUAGAGGACGAGUGUUUAAAGAAGGAAACUGUGACGUCGUCAUCAAGAAUCUGAGCUUCAGUGACGCUGGGAAAUACUUUCUGCAUCUCUAUUACAAUAAUGAUCAGAAAGAGCUGGAGCGACAAAUCAGGACGUACCAACUUCAUAUUCAUGAUGAGAUUUGUGUGAACAUCGGUGAGCAGCUGAAGUUAGAUGUUCUGUUGUCAGAAGCUGAUAAAGUGCAGCAUCAGGAGCGAGUGGAAGCAGGUGUGGAGGAGAAAAGAUGGGGUCUGGAGCGAUCGACUGACUCACAGUGAUGGAAACAUGACAUCUUACAGUUUGAGGACAGAGAUGCAGGAACAUACAGAGUUCUGGAUUCAGAAGGAAACUCUUGUUUCCCUGACAGCGCCAUGAUCGUGUGAAUCUGAUCUCAGAUCAGCUGUUGGAGCUGCACAGGUCACGUGACUGAUCUGAAACAGGGACACAGGAGAAAUGUUAUUUUGUCAUUCACUUCAGUGUUCAGAGUUUAAACUUUUGAAAUAUAUGCUGUAUAAAACCACUGUAUAAGAUAAACAGUAUUACCAGUAAAAUAUAGAUUUAAAUAAAAACGUACAUAAAAUAUUAAAUGCCA
ensembl:lncRNA